CUUCGCAUUCCGUCUCGAGCGACGAUCGGAGCGGAUCGCUCAUCAGGAGCCGCAUAUCCAGCAUACCAAGUGUGGUGCCUAAAACGAUUCAAGUGAACGGGACGGAAAUUAAAAUCUUUCUCGUACAUCUUUAACCAUUUGUACACUACCCUGAGACGGUACCGAACCGUGUGACCACCGAGUCGUAGCAACUUUUUAUGAUAUGCCGUUUGGAACAGAUCGUACAGCAACAAGACCGCGUGCUGUGAAAUUCGAUGGAUUCUUCUAACAUCUAAAACGAAACAUACAGAGCAUACAUUAAUACUGUUUGUUUCCAAAAUGAGCUCUAAAGGAAACGUACCUUCUUCUUCUCGUA